ACUCUCCCUCUCUCUUUCCGAUCUCUCUUUUUCCCCUUCCCGGGAUUGAACCCAUUGAACUCAUUUUCACGAGUUUGGUGCAAUUGCACUGAACGAGUGCGAGGUGAUAUAAAGCUAGCGCCGAAUCGUGUCUAGCCCGCUCGGUCUCGGACCCGAGCAGGUGCAGAAGCGGUGGCAACGACCCUAUUGCCGUUUGGUUUCUGUAAUUCCGUUCCCUCUACGGGUCUUAUUCCUCGGUACCAGCAGGGCGGAAGACAUAAGAGAACUCGCUCUAGUGAACACCAACCCAUCGAGAGCGGGGCAGCAACUGAUUCGGCGGAAGUACAGAGGGAGGCAACAACUGGUUCGGCGAUGACAGAGGUCGCGACAACUGUGGGAAGGAGCUGAAAUAGAAAAAGAAAACGAACCUGCCGCCGUGGAAAUCGGUGACGGGUUUGAAGGCGGAGGCGGCGGUGGAAGUGGAGGAGGACAUCUUCAAAAGAGGGACGCCGCUGCAAUUCAUGUUGAACGUUGAGGAAGUCGAGAGCUCACUGCUCACAUGCUCUGGCCUCGGAGCUCAGAAUAUCAUAUCUCUCUGUGUCACAGUCUUGUUUUUUCCUUUCUUCUUGUUUGGGAACCCUUCUUUUUCAAAUCUUCUACGAUCCUGACUUUUUUUGUACACUCGUGGUUCUGAAACCAGCUUUCUUCGGAUGGCGGAUCGUUCUAUUGAAGUUCCUCUUCCUGUCUCUGUAUAAGAAAUGCUAAGAACUAUAUGUGAGCAACAGUCACUGCCACCUGCUGAAAUGAGCGCAAGGAGAGAGCUGGCUUUGCUUGGAGACGAGGCGUCUCUGCAGCUUCUUUGGCGAAUUUCCGGUCAAAGAAUCUGAUCCCUGACAAGAUUUAUCAUUUAUAUGGCGAGAAGUGUGUGUACAGCCGUGUGCUUCUCCGGGCCACGUAGUUCUGAAAGUUCAACUUUUGUUUCUAUGCAAGCUUUGAUGAAGAAAUACUCCAUAUAUCUGGAUCCCUUAUUCCAGAAAACACUGGAAGCACCAAAUGGUUGCAUAAACACGUGGAAGAAGGUUCAAUAGUAGAAAGGAGUAUCAAGAAGCAGAAACAAAAGGAUGAUAGAAGCAAAAUGCAGGAGCAUUGUACUGGGAUACUUGAUAAUGCAGGAUUAUCUUUGAACGCUGAAGAUCAACCAAAGAAGACAAAAAGUCAGAGAAUUAUUUAAGAGUCUUGAAUCAAUCUGCUGGAGGGUCCUGAAUUUGUUAAAGGAGCCUACUUGCAACCUGGUGGACUAGGUAACAUUGUCGAAGGAGCCAGAGAAACAGAACUCUUAGAAAUUUGUUUUGCUGUUUUUUUGUGCUAAGAGUGAAGGUUCGAAGAGUGCUGGAGUGGGACUCUCAAUUCCCCCCCCACCCCCCCCAAAAAGAAAACGAAAAAAAUGAGAAUCGGACACUCGUAACUAUUAAGGAAUUAAGGUAUGGAAUCGGAUACUCACGAAAAAAGAUAUGUUCCUUGGUUUUCUAGGUAUUUUGGAUCGUAUGGACUCUUGUUUAUAUGUUGAUCAUAUUGUGUUUAAACACG